rnacentral:rRNA from 1 species
UACAUAGGGUGCGAGCGUUAAUCGGAAUUACUGGGCGUAAAGCGUGCGUAGACGGUCAUGUAAGUCGGAUGUGAAAGCCCCGGGCUCAACCUGGGAAUUGCAUUCGAGACUGCAUGGCUUGGGUGCGGAAGAGGGAAGCGGAAUUUCCGGUGUAGCGGUGAAAUGCGUAGAUAUCGGAAGGAACACCAGUGGCGAAAGCGGCUUCCUGGUCCGACACCGACGUUCAGGCACGAAAGCGUGGGGAGCAAACAGG